rnacentral:tRNA from 1 species
GAGGGUAUAGCUUAGUGGUAGAGUGUGUACUUCGCAUGCACAAGGUCCGGGGUUCAAUUCCUAGUACCUCA